rnacentral:lncRNA from 10 species
CCAAGCCCUCACCCACCAGGCAUUUACUAAGCACCUACUGCACAGUGCAGGGCUGUUGGAGGGCUCUCCGCAGAGGAGUGAUGAGGUCGCUUUCUGUGUUUCAUGGCAGGGAGACAGGUGGGGAGGCUACUGAAGGAACAGAGACCCUGGAAGAUAGAAUGACAACUCUGACAUGGUUCCUGCUCUGCUGGAGCCCGUGGCCCAGGAGGGAAUGGUGCUGAAGAUGGGGAGAUCCGAGUGGCCCUACUGUGAGACCCCAAUAGGGGACUGGAUGUGGUCAGCCCUGCCUUGCUGCUGCUCCAUCAUCUGUCCAGCUCCUCGUCCUCUUCCCAAUGCCACUGCUUUCCAGGGCUUGGCCAGAGACCUCUCUGCUUCCCAUCCAAGCCUAGAUGCCUCCUUCUAGUUGAUGUCUUCACAGCCACCACCCCAAAUGGCAGCAACGGCUGUGAGCUCCAUUUCUAUGGAUGAUAAAAGUGAGGCACAGAUGAAUCAAUUAUCUGAGGAUCCCAGCUUGUCCAGUAUUUCGUGAAAGAACCGAACCCAAAAAGCAAAUCAUCCACCCAGCAGGCAGCUCCUGGGAAAGAGGCAGGUCUGCGGAGGGAGGUGAGGACUUCAUUCUAACUGUGAAAUGACUGCGUUCAGAAUUGGGAAUCCAGAGCUGGGAACGAGCUGCUGACCUGCUCCGGGCAUUUGUGGCCAUUCGCCUUGAGGGCCAGGACGCCUGCAUCAGAGCAGCUGGGCCUGACCCUGGGAGCGAGGCCUCCCUGGGUGAGACUGACAAGCCCCUCUGGCCAUCCUUGUGGGGUCCCUGAGCCUUCACUUUCCUGCCCUGUCUUGCUCUGAUGUUUACUGCUGUGUGGGCCUCAGUGGUUUUACCCAUAACACGGAAUGAAACAUUUUGUCUAGGUAAUGGAAAAGUUGCUUUGGGAAAUCAAGAUGGGAUCGUGGAGGUGAACAGGUGUGAGCUGGAAGGUGCUCACCAGGUGCUUGUGUGCUGUGCUCGGCUGAACCAGGGCCCACAGAUCUUGCAUGGAAAGAUAAUCCUGGAUCCUCUGACAGGUCCAG